AUCGAGAAGGCUGAAAAUGGAGAUAAGGA
rnacentral:piRNA from 1 species